rnacentral:tRNA from 1 species
CCCGUCCUGGAACGGGUUGAACCCGUCGUACUCCCGGUCCGCCCCGUCGUGCCCCGCCUGACGGUCACGGCGGCGCUGGGCCGCCGGACGCGG